GACGAACCGGUGCGAACGUUGUUCGGAAUCACUGGGCUUAAAGGGCGCGUAGGCGGCUUGCCAAGUCGGGGGUGAAAUCCGGCAGCUUAACUGUCGAAGUGCCUUCGAUACUGGCGAGCUCGAGGGAGGUAGGGGUCUGUGGAACUUCUGGUGGAGCGGUGAAAUGCGUUGAUAUCAGAAGGAACGCCGGUGGCGAAAGCGACGGACUGGACCUCUUCUGACGCUGAGGCGCGAAAGCUAGGGGAGCAAACGGG
rnacentral:rRNA from 1 species